GAAAUGAAGCUCCAGAACACAGAUGAAGGAACUCAACGUAAGA
rnacentral:sRNA from 1 species